UGCCAGCCGCCGCGGUAAUACGGAGGGGGUUAGCGUUGUUCGGAAUUACUGGGCGUAAAGCGCACGUAGGCGGACUGGAAAGUUGGGGGUGAAAUCCCAGGGCUCAACCCUGGAACUGCCUCCAAAACUAUCAGUCUAGAGUUCGAGGGAGGUGAGUGGAAUUCCGAGUGUAGAGGUGAAAUUCGUAGAUAUUCGGAGGAACACCAGUGGCGAAGGCGGCUUUCUGGACCAUAACUGACGCUGAGGCGCGAAAGCGUGGGUAGCAAACAGGAUUAGAUA
rnacentral:rRNA from 1 species